GAUAAUAAGAGGACUUAAACCUCUGUACUCGGAACUACACUCCGCCGCUUUACACUCAGCCAUCUUACC
rnacentral:tRNA from 1 species